rnacentral:rRNA from 1 species
GCGGCGUGCUUAACACAUGCAAGUCGAACGGAAAGGCCCUGCUUUUGUGGGGUGCUCGAGUGGCGAACGGGUGAGUAACACGUGAGUAACCUGCCCUUGACUUUGGGAUAACUUCAGGAAACUGGGGCUAAUACCGGAUAGGAGCUCCUGCUGCAUGGUGGGGGUUGGAAAGUUUCGGCGGUUGGGGAUGGACUCGCGGCUUAUCAGCUUGUUGGUGGGGUAGUGGCUUACCAAGGCUUUGACGGGUAGCCGGCCUGAGAGGGUGACCGGCCGCAUUGGGACUGAGAUACGGCCCAGACUCCUACGGGAGGCAGCAGUGGGGAAUAUUGCACAAUGGGCGGAAGCCUGAUGCAGCAACGCCGCGUGCGGGAUGACGGCCUUCGGGUUGUAAACCGCUUUCGCCUGUGACGAAGCGUGAGUGACGGUAAUGGGUAAAGAAGCACCGGCUAACUACGUGCCAGCAGCCGCGGUGAUACGUAGGGUGCGAGCGUUGUCCGGAUUUAUUGGGCGUAAAGGGCUCGUAGGUGGUUGAUCGCGUCGGAAGUGUAAUCUUGGGGCUUAACCCUGAGCGUGCUUUCGAUACGGGUUGACUUGAGGAAGGUAGGGGAGAAUGGAAUUCCUGGUGGAGCGGUGGAAUGCGCAGAUAUCAGGAGGAACACCAGUGGCGAAGGCGGUUCUCUGGGCCUUUCCUGACGCUGAGGAGCGAAAGCGUGGGGAGCGAACAGGCUUAGAUACCCUGGUAGUCCACGCUGUAAACGGUGGGUACUAGGUGUGGGGUCCAUUCCACGGGUUCCGUGCCGUAGCUAACGCUUUAAGUACCCCGCCUGGGGAGUACGGCCGCAAGGCUAAAACUCAAAGGAAUUGACGGGGCCCCGCACAAGCGGCGGAGCAUGCGGAUUAAUUCGAUGCAACGCGUAGAACCUUACCUGGGUUUGACAUGGAUCGGGAGUGCUCAGAGAUGGGUGUGCCUCUUUUGGGGUCGGUUCACAGGUGGUGCAUGGCUGUCGUCAGCUCGUGUCGUGAGAUGUUGGGUUAAGUCCCGCAACGAGCGCAACCCUUGUUCACUGUUGCCAGCACGUUAUGGUGGGGACUCAGUGGAGACCGCCGGGGUCAACUCGGAGGAAGGUGGGGAUGACGUCAAGUCAUCAUGCCCCUUAUGUCCAGGGCUUCACGCAUGCUACAAUGGCUGGUACAGAGAGUGGCGAGCCUGUGAGGGUGAGCGAAUCUCGGAAAGCCGGUCUCAGUUCGGAUUGGGGUCUGCAACUCGACCUCAUGAAGUCGGAGUCGCUAGUAAUCGCAGAUCAGCAACGCUGCGGUGAAUACGUUCCCGGGGCUUGUACACACCGCCCGUCAAGUCAUGAAAGUUGGUAACACCCGAAGCCGGUGGCCUAACCGUUGUGGGGGAGCCGUCGAAGGUGGGACUGGUGAUUAGGACUAA